rnacentral:rRNA from 1 species
UGCAAGUCGAACGAUGAAGGUGGGAGCUUGCUCCUACUGGAUUAGUGGCGAACGGGUGAGUAACACGUGAGCAAUCUGCCCCUGACUCUGGGAUAAGCGUUGGAAACGACGUCUAAUACCGGAUACGAGCUGGAACCGCAUGGUUACCAGCUGGAAAGAACUUUGGUCAGGGAUGAGCUCGCGGCCUAUCAGCUUGUUGGUGAGGUAAUGGCUCACCAAGGCGACGACGGGUAGCCGGCCUGAGAGGGUGACCGGCCACACUGGGACUGAGACACGGCCCAGACUCCUACGGGAGGCAGCAGUGGGGAAUAUUGCACAAUGGGCGCAAGCCUGAUGCAGCAACGCCGCGUGAGGGAUGAAUGCCUUCGGGUUGUAAACCUCUUUUAGCAGGGAAGAAGCGAAAGUGACGGUACCUGCAGAAAAAGCGCCGGCUAACUACGUGCCAGCAGCCGCGGUAAUACGUAGGGCGCAAGCGUUGUCCGGAAUUAUUGGGCGUAAAGAGCUCGUAGGCGGUUUGUCGCGUCUGCUGUGAAAAUCCGAGGCUCAACCUCGGACCUGCAGUGGGUACGGGCAAACUAGAGUGCGGUAGGGGAGAUUGGAAUUCCUGGUGUAGCGGUGGAAUGCGCAGAUAUCAGGAGGAACACCAAUGGCGAAGGCAGAUCUCUGGGCCGUAACUGACGCUGAGGAGCGAAAGCGUGGGGAGCGAACAGGAUUAGAUACCCUGGUAGUCCACGCCGUAAACGGUGGGAACUAGAUGUAGGGACCGUUCCACGGGUUUCUGUGUCGCAGCUAACGCAUUAAGUUCCCCGCCUGGGG